rnacentral:rRNA from 1 species
ACAUGCAAGUCGAACGGUGAACACGGAGCUUGCUCUGUGGGAUCAGUGGCGAACGGGUGAGUAACACGUGAGCAACCUGCCCCUGACUCUGGGAUAAGCGCUGGAAACGGCGUCUAAUACUGGAUACGAGUAGCGACCGCAUGGUCAGUUACUGGAAAGAAUUUUGGUUGGGGAUGGGCUCGCGGCCUAUCAGCUUGUUGGUGAGGUAAUGGCUCACCAAGGCGUCGACGGGUAGCCGGCCUGAGAGGGUGACCGGCCACACUGGGACUGAGACACGGCCCAGACUCCUACGGGAGGCAGCAGUGGGGAAUAUUGCACAAUGGGCGAAAGCCUGAUGCAGCAACGCCGCGUGAGGGAUGACGGCCUUCGGGUUGUAAACCUCUUUUAGCAGGGAAGAAGCGAAAGUGACGGUACCUGCAGAAAAAGCACCGGCUAACUACGUGCCAGCAGCCGCGGUAAUACGUAGGGUGCAAGCGUUAUCCGGAAUUAUUGGGCGUAAAGAGCUCGUAGGCGGUUUGUCGCGUCUGCUGUGAAAUCCGGAGGCUCAACCUCCGGCCUGCAGUGGGUACGGGCAGACUAGAGUGCGGUAGGGGAGAUUGGAAUUCCUGGUGUAGCGGUGGAAUGCGCAGAUAUCAGGAGGAACACCGAUGGCGAAGGCAGAUCUCUGGGCCGUUACUGACGCUGAGGAGCGAAAGGGUGGGGAGCAAACAGGCUUAGAUACCCUGGUAGUCCACCCCGUAAACGUUGGGAACUAGUUG